UUUUAGCCCUAAUAGAAUGAUAUCCAACGCAUUUUUUUUGCGUGGAUAUAGCGUAUAGCAGGAAUAGCU
rnacentral:misc_RNA from 1 species